AGAAUACAGCAUCCACAUUCCAAAGAGGAUGGUAGCCGAUUUCCACUGCCCUGAGGAAACGAAAGUUUGCUUGGUCAGGAAGCAGGAACAGGAAGGCCAUGUGUAAAAGAACUGGAGUUGACCUGUCUCCUCCCUUCUCUUCCGGAAACCUGCCCUCUGAAGCCUAGAACUUGAGCCCACUGGGGCCACACAGUCUCAUGCAGAGGAACUACAGAACCCAGCACAACACGGUUUUUGUUCCAAACAGCUAGCUUACAGCUCAUGUCUGGGACCGUGCCCUACUUGCAAGCCAAAGUCAGAUUCUUCCAUAAUGGGCUAGCCCUGGGAGUGCCCGGGGAGAAGAGCCAUUAGCAAAAAUGAAAAGCAAGGUAUCUUUUAGUCCAUUAAGUUAAAAGAGGGUUUUUUUCUCCCCUUUAUUAUUU